AAGACCUUGCGCUUUUGGAGCGGCCGAUGCCUGAUUAGCUUGUUGGUAAGGUAAAAGCUUACCAAGGCUUCGAUCAGUAGCUGGUCUGAGAGGACGACCAGCCACACUGGGACUGAGACACGGCCCAGACUCCUACGGGAGGCAGCAGUGGGGAAUUUUGGACAAUGGGGGCAACCCUGAUCCAGCCAUGCCGCGUGAGUGAAGAAGGCCUUCGGGUUGUAAAGCUCUUUCAGCCGGAACGAAACGGUUACGGUUAACACCCGUGACUACUGACGGUACCGGAAGAAGAAGCACCGGCUAACUACGUGCCAGCAGCCGCGGUAAUACGUAGGGUGCGAGCGUUAAUCGGAAUUACUGAGCGUAAAGCGUGCGCAGGUGGUUUUGUAAGUCAGAUGUGAAAGCCCCGGGCUCAACCUGGGAACU
rnacentral:rRNA from 1 species